rnacentral:rRNA from 1 species
AGUGAACGCUGGCGGUAGGCCUAACACAUGCAAGUCGAACGGCAGCACAGUAAGAGCUUGCUCUUACGGGUGGCGAGUGGCGGACGGGUGAGGAAUACAUCGGAAUCUACUUUUUCGUGGGGGAUAACGUAGGGAAACUUACGCCAAUACCGCAUACGACCUACGGGUGAAAGCAGGGGAUCUUCGGACCUUGCGCGAUUGAAUGAGCCGAUGUCGGAUUAGCUAGUUGGCGGGGUAAAGGCCCACCAAGGCGACGAUCCGUAGCUGGUCUGAGAGGAUGAUCAGCCACACUGGAACUGAGACACGGUCCAGACUCCUACGGGAGGCAGCAGUGGGGAAUAUUGGACAAUGGGCGCAAGCCUGAUCCAGCCAUACCGCGUGGGUGAAGAAGGCCUUCGGGUUGAAAAGCCCUUUUGUUGGGAAAGAAAAGCAGCAGGUUAAUACCCCGCUGUUCUGACGGUACCCAAAGAAUAAGCACCGGCUAACUUCGU